rnacentral:rRNA from 1 species
UGCUCAAAGCAGGCCAGUGCCUGAAUACAUUAGCAUGGAAUAAUAAAAUAGGACGGCAUGGUUCUAUUUUGUUGGUUUCUAGGAUCACCGUAAUAAUUAAUAGGAAUAGUUGGGGGCAUUAGUAUUCAAUUGUCAGAGGUGAAAUUCUUGGAUUGCUUUCAUUAAUCAAGAACGAAAGUUAGGGGAUCGAAGACGAUCAGAUACCGUCGUAGUCUUAACCAUAAACUAUGCCGACUAGGGAUCGGACGAUGUUAAUUUUUUAAUGACUCGUUCGGCGCCUUACG